rnacentral:rRNA from 1 species
GAUGAACGCUGGCGGCGUGCCUAAUACAUGCAAGUCGAGCGAACAGACGAGGAGCUUGCUCCUCUGACGUUAGCGGCGGACGGGUGAGUAACACGUGGAUAACCUACCUAUAAGACUGGGAUAACUUCGGGAAACCGGAGCUAAUACCGGAUAAUAUAUUGAACCGCAUGGUUCAAUAGUGAAAGACGGUUUUGCUGUCACUUAUAGAUGGAUCCGCGCCGCAUUAGCUAGUUGGUAAGGUAACGGCUUACCAAGGCAACGAUGCGUAGCCGACCUGAGAGGGUGAUCGGCCACACUGGAACUGAGACACGGUCCAGACUCCUACGGGAGGCAGCAGUAGGGAAUCUUCCGCAAUGGGCGAAAGCCUGACGGAGCAACGCCGCGUGAGUGAUGAAGGUCUUCGGAUCGUAAAACUCUGUUAUUAGGGAAGAACAAAUGUGUAAGUAAAUAUGCACGUCUUGGCGGUACCUAAUCAGAAAGCCACGGCUAACUACGUG